GAUGAACGCUGGCGGCGUGCCUAAUACAUGCAAGUCGAGCGAACAGAUGAGGAGCUUGCUCCUCUGACGUUAGCGGCGGACGGGUGAGUAACACGUGGAUAACCUACCUAUAAGACUGGGAUAACUUCGGGAAACCGGAGCUAAUACCGGAUAAUAUAUUGAACCGCAUUGUUCAAUAGUGAAAGACGGUUUUGCUGUCACUUAUAGAUGGAUCAGCGCCGCAUUAGCUAGUUGGUAAGGUAACGGCUUACCAAGGCAACGAUGCGUAGCCGACCUGAGAGGGUGAUCGGCCACACUGGAACUGAGACACGGUCCAGACUCCUACGGGAGGAAGCAGUAGGGAAUCUUCCGCAAUGGGCGAAAGCCUGACGGAGCAACGCCGCGUGAGUGAUGAAGGUCUUCGGAUCGUAAAACUCUGUUAUUAGGGAAGAACAAAUGUGUAAGUAACUAUGCACGUCUUGACGGUACCUAAUCAGAAAGCCACGGCUAACUACGUG
rnacentral:rRNA from 1 species